rnacentral:rRNA from 1 species
CCUACGGGAGGCAGCAGUAAGGAAUAUUGGUCAAUGGACGCAAGUCUGAACCAGCCAUGCCGCGUGCAGGAUGAAGGCCCUCUGGGUUGUAAACUGCUUUUAUAGGGGACGAAAAAGGGACUUUCUAGUUCAACUGACGGUACCCUAGGAAUAAGCACCGGCUAACUCCGUGCCAGCAGCCGCGGUAAUACGGAGGGUGCAAGCGUUAUCCGGAUUUACUGGGUUUAAAGGGUGCGUAGGUGGGUCGGUAAGUCAGCGGUGAAAUCUUCAAGCUUAACUUGGAAACUGCCAUUGAUACUAUCGAUCUUGAAUCAUCUGGAGGUAAGCGGAAUAUGUCAUGUAGCGGUGAAAUGCUUAGAUAUGACAUAGAACACCAAUUGCGAAGGCAGCUUACUACGGAUGUAUUGACACUGAGGCACGAAAGCGUGGGGAUCAAACAGGAUUAGAUACCCUGGUAGUCCACGCCCUAAACGAUGGAUACUCGACAUACGUGAUAUACUAUGUGUGUCUGAGCGAAAGCAUUAAAGUAUCCCACCUGGGAAGUACGAUUCGCAAGAUUGAAACUUCAAAGGAAUUGAGGGCUUGAGACGNGNGAGACGACGACGAGGAGGAGG